GACGAACGCUGGCGGCGUGCUUAACACAUGCAAGUCGAACGGAAAGGCCCUGCUUUUGUGGGGUGCUCGAGUGGCGAACGGGUGAGUAACACGUGAGUAACCUGCCCUUGACUUUGGGAUAACUUCAGGAAACUGGGGCUAAUACCGGAUAGGAGCUCCUGCUGCAUGGUGGGGGUUGGAAAGUUUCGGCGGUUGGGGAUGGACUCGCGGCUUAUCAGCUUGUUGGUGGGGUAGUGGCUUACCAAGGCUUUGACGGGUAGCCGGCCUGAGAGGGUGACCGGCCACAGUGGGACUGAGAUACGGCCCAGACUCCUACGGGAGGCAGCAGUGGGGAAUAUUGCACAAUGGGCGGAAGCCUGAUGCAGCAACGCCGCGUGCGGGAUGACGGCCUUCGGGGUGUAAACCGCUUUCGCCUGUGACGAAGCGUGAGUGACGGUAAUGGGUAAAGAAGCAGCGGCUAACUACGUG
rnacentral:rRNA from 1 species